UUUGAUCAUGGCUCAGGAUGAACGCUAGCGGCAGGCCUAACACAUGCAAGUCGAGGGGUAGAGGGGUGCUUGCACCCCUUGAGACCGGCGCACGGGUGCGUAACGCGUAUGCAACCUACCUAUUGCAGGGGAAUAGCCCAGGGAAACUUGGAUUAAUGCCCCAUAGUCCAUAUUGAGAGCAUUCGAUAUAUGGUAAAGAUUUAUCGGCAAUAGAUGGGCAUGCGUCCCAUUAGCUAGUUGGUAUGGUAACGGCAUACCAAGGCAACGAUGGGUAGGGGCCCUGAGAGGGGGAUCCCCCACACUGGUACUGAGACACGGACCAGACUCCUACGGGAGGCAGCAGUGAGGAAUAUUGGACAAUGGGCGGGAGCCUGAUCCAGCCAUGCCGCGUGCAGGAAGACUGCCCUAUGGGUUGUAAACUGCUUUUUUACGGGAAGAAACACCCCCACGUGUGGGGGCUUGACGGUACCGUACGAAUAAGGACCGGCUAACUCCGUGCCAGCAGCCGCGGUAAUACGGAGGGUCCGAGCGUUAUCCGGAAUCAUUGGGUUUAAAGGGUCCGUAGGCGGGCGUCUAAGUCAGUGGUGGAAAUCCCGCAGCUCAACUGUGGAAUUGCCAUUGAUACUGGUCGCCUUGAAUUAGUGUGAAGUGGCUAGAAUAUGUAGUGUAGCGGUGAAAUGCUUAGAUAUUACAUAGAAUACCGAUUGCGAAGGCAGGUCACUAACACUAUAUUGACGCUGAUGGACGAAAGCGUGGGGAGCGAACAGGAUUAGAUACCCUGGUAGUCCACGCCGUAAACGAUGGAUACUAGCUGUCCGGCCUGCAUUGGUAGGCUGGGUGGCCAAGCGAAAGUGAUAAGUAUCCCACCUGGGGAGUACGUUCGCAAGAAUGAAACUCAAAGGAAUUGACGGGGGCCCGCACAAGCGGUGGAGCAUGUGGUUUAAUUCGAUGAUACGCGAGGAACCUUACCAGGGCUUAAAUGUAGUCUGACAGGGGUGGAAACACCCCCUUCUUCGGACAGACUGCAAGGUGCUGCAUGGUUGUCGUCAGCUCGUGCCGUGAGGUGUCAGGUUAAGUCCUAUAACGAGCGCAACCCCUGUCGUUAGUUGCCAGCAUGUAAAGAUGGGAACUCUAACGAGACUGCCGGUGCAAACCGUGAGGAAGGUGGGGAUGACGUCAAAUCAUCACGGCCCUUACGUCCUGGGCCACACACGUGCUACAAUGGCAGGUACAAUGGGCAGCCACGCCGCAAGGCGGAGCGAAUCCACAAAACCUGUCUCAGUUCGGAUCGGGGUCUGCAACUCGACCCCGUGAAGCUGGAAUCGCUAGUAAUCGGAUAUCAGCCAUGAUCCGGUGAAUACGUUCCCGGGCCUUGUACACACCGCCCGUCAAGCCAUGGAAGCUGGAAGCACCUGAAGUCCGUCACCGCGAGGAGCGGCCUAGGGUGAAGCUGGUAACUGGGGCUAAGUCGUAACAAGGUAGCCGUACCGGAAGGUGCGGCUGGAACACCU
rnacentral:rRNA from 2 species